UGGGAGAUAACCAAGAACUGACAACCACCUACAGAAGAGGUGGCGAUAAUGGCUCUCCAAGAGGAGGUUGUGAGUCUGAAGGCUUUUAUUCAACAAGUGUUAGGCUGUCUGUGUGGACUGCUUCCCAUUUUCGCCUCACCCUGAGAGGACUAAGAUGAUAAUUGAGGCCACCCUGAAGCAGUUCCCAGGCCAGACACUCACUCCAGAUUGCUGGGCUAGGCAAUAAAUGCCAAAGUGAACGAACUGAGGUUCCAUAACAAAA